rnacentral:rRNA from 1 species
CCCAGACUCCUACGGGAGGCAGCAGUGGGGAAUAUUGCACAAUGGGGGAAACCCUGAUGCAGCGACGCCGCGUGAGUGAAGAAGUAUCUCGGUACGUAAAGCUCUAUCAGCAGGGAAGAUAAUGACGGUACCUGACCAAGAAGCCCCGGCUAACUACGUGCCAGCAGCCGCGGUAAUACGUAGGGGGCAAGCGUUAUCCGGAUUUACUGGGUGUAAAGGGAGCGUAGACGGCAGCACAAGUCUGGAGUGAAAUCCCGGGGCUUAACCCCGGAACUGCUUUGGAAACUGUGCGGCUGGAGUGCAGGAGGGGUAAGCGGAAUUCCUAGUGUAGCGGUGAAAUGCGUAGAUAUUAGGAGGAACACUGGUGGCGAAGGCGGCCUGCUGGACUGCAACUGACGUUGAGGCCCGAAAGCGUGGGGAGCAAACAGGAUUAGAUCCCCGAGUA